GGUUUUUCUUUUGGCCAAGGGUGAAGACUCGGACUGGACACGCACUGGUGCUUGUUAGGAGCAGAUUGGGGAGAAAAGCAUCCCAGACCAAUUCCCGCUCUUGGUUACUGAUCACUUUCAUGACCCUGGCUCCAGCAUUGCCCUACAAAAAGUUGCAUCUGCACAACCUGGGGGAAUGUCAAAGUGAAGACAUGAGAAGCCAGGGAUGGAGAGGAGACGGGCGCCAGUGUACCAUGUGCCAUCCUUCAGCCUGUGGCUCUGAGAAGAUGACUGUGAUCUUCAGAAGUGGAAGCCAUGAAAUGCCAGAUUUGGGGCCCAGAGAACGGGGCUCUCCACCAGAGCGAAGGGAUGGGGACAACCGCUGGAGGGCUUUGGCAUGGAGAGCAGAUAGCCCCCCCCGGCAGCACGCUCACCCCAUGAACCGCUUCUGCGCACACCCUGUGGGGCAGCGAAAGCUGGGUGUCGGGGCCGAGUAAAGGUUUCGACCGGUUCCUUCACCUAGCACGUCUGUGUUGGCGUGGCAAAUGCUCGUGUUUCUGUUUUGUUAUGCAGGGGCAGAUCACCUUGGGUGUAAAUCCACUGGCAUAGACAGAGCUGCACCGUGGGUGAU